rnacentral:rRNA from 1 species
UGGGGAAUAUUGCACAAUGGGCGCAAGCCUGAUGCAGCGACGCCGCGUGAGGGAUGACGGCCUUCGGGUUGUAAACCUCUUUCAGCAGGGAAGAAGCGAAAGUGACGGUACCUGCAGAAGAAGCGCCGGCUAACUACGUGCCAGCAGCCGCGGUAAUACGUAGGGCGCGAGCGUUGUCCGGAAUUAUUGGGCGUAAAGAGCUUGUAGGCGGUUUGUUGCGUCUGCUGUGAAAGACCGGGGCUUAACCCCGGUAUUGCAGUGGGUACGGGCAGACUAGAGUGCAGUAGGGGAGACUGGAAUUCCUGGUGUAGCGGUGAAAUGCGCAGAUAUCAGGAGGAACACCGAUGGCGAAGGCAGGUCUCUGGGCUGUAACUGACGCUGAGAAGCGAAAGCAUGGAGAGCGAACAGGAUUAGAUACCCUGGUAGUCCAUGCCGUAAACGUUGGGCACUAGGUGUGGGGGACAUUCCACGUUUUCCGCGCCGUAGCUAACGCAUUAAGUGCCCCGCCUGGGGAGUACGGCCGCAAGGCUA